ACCGGGCGUCGUGGCGGGCGCCUGUGAGCCAGCUUCUAGGCGGUAGAUUGGUGUGGAUGGAGUGAGGGGAGGAGUCCCGCGGUGGUCGUGGAGUGCGGCGACCGGGCGUCCGCGUCAAGCGUUGCGUCGCUAGGGUUGUGCCGUCGGAGGAUGGCAUCUCCCAUGGCGUCCGUGUCAAGCAUUGCGUCGCCAGGGUUGUGCCUCGGAGGAUGGCAUGCCCCGGGCGGUCAAGGAGUGGUGUACGGCUCAGGACCGUGAGCACCCAUCCUACCGCGGCCUCUCCGACACCUUCAGACCUCCGGUCGU
rnacentral:SRP_RNA from 1 species